AGCGAACGCUGGCGGCAGGCCUAACACAUGCAAGUCGAACGAACCCUUCGGGGUUAGUGGCGGACGGGUGAGUAACACGUGGGAACGUGCCUUUAGGUUCGGAAUAACUCAGGGAAACUUGUGCUAAUACCGAAUGUGCCCUUCGGGGGAAAGAUUUAUCGCCUUUAGAGCGGCCCGCGUCUGAUUAGCUAGUUGGUGAGGCAAUGGCUCACCAAGGCUACGAUCAGUAGCUGGUCUGAGAGGAUGACUAGCCACAUUGGGACUGGGACACGGCCCAAACUCCUACGGGAGGCAGCAGUGGGGAAUUUUGCGCAAUGGGCGAAAGCCUGACGCAGCCAUGCCGCGUGGAUGAUGAAGGUCUUAGGAUUGUAAAAUCCUUUCACCGGUGAAGAUAAUGACUGUAGCCGGAGAAGAAGCCCCGGCUAACUUCGUGCCAGCCGCCGCGGUAAGAC
rnacentral:rRNA from 1 species